GGGGAUGACGUCAAGUCCUCAUGGCCUUUAUGACCAGGGCUACACACGUACUACAAUGGCAGGUACAAAGGGCAGCCACUUAGCGAUAAGGCGCGAAUCCCGUAAAACCUGUCUCAGUCCGGAUUGGAGUCUGCAACUCGACUCCAUGAAGUUGGAAUCGCUAGUAAUCGCAGAUCAGCACGCUGCGGUGAAUACCGGUUCCCGGGCCUU
rnacentral:rRNA from 1 species